UGGGUCAUAUCUGAGCCCGGGUCGUUUGAUCCAAUACCCGACCCGGUCCGGUUGUUAUUUUGUAAGUAUAUUUGUAAAGGUUAGGUAGGAAGGUUCGAGACAUCAGAUAUUUUCAUUCUUCAUUUCCCAAUACCGACUCUUCAGUUCUCUCAAUCUCUCCUCCUUCUCUCUACUUUCUCUCUCUAAAUUCUCCGUAAUUUACUCGGUUAAUCUGAAUAUUUACAUGGUAUCAGA
rnacentral:lncRNA from 1 species